rnacentral:rRNA from 1 species
GACGAACGCUGGCGGCGUGCUUAACACAUGCAAGUCGAACGGAAAGGCCCUUCGGGGUCCUCGCGUGGCGAACGGGUGGGUGACACAUUGGCGAUUUGCCCUCCACUUUGGGAUAAGCCUGGGAAACUGGGGCUAAUAACGAAUUAGACCACGAGCUUCUGGACGGGUGGGGGAAAGCUUUUGCGGUGUGGGAUGGGCCCGCGGCCUAUCAGUCUGUUGGUGGGGUAAUGGCCUACCAAGGCGAGGACUGGUAGCCGGCCUGAGAGGGUGACCGGCCACACUGGGACUGAGAUACGGCCCAGACUCCUACGGGAGGCAGCAGUGGGGAAUAUUGCACAAUGGGCGCAAGCCUGAUGCAGCGACGCCGCGUGCGGGAUGACGGCCUUCGGGUUGUAAACCUCUUUCAAUAGGGACGAAGCGCAAGUGACGGUACCUAUAGAAGAAGCACCGGCCAACUACGUG